rnacentral:misc_RNA from 1 species
GUCGAUGUCAGACACUUGAGGAAUGAGAAUCACAGAACAUUCAAACGCAUGAGCUUGUUUUUGCUUAUAGAAAAAUCAUUUUCCGCUACGAUUCACCAUUCCCAUUUUCUCUGCAACUUUCUUCAUAAUCAUAUUCAUACUCAUUUCAAUUCAUCAUCACUCACUCAACGUGAAAAUGAAGACCAUUCUUUCUUCUUCUGCUACUACCUGUGAUUUCUCGCUGAUUCUUUUCCCUCAGCUCUGCCCCAGUAAAAAUUCAAGCCACACCUACCCAUCAAUCCCUUUCUCCAAGAGGAGAAGGAAAAAACUUCACCCAAAAUUUUCCCAUCUCAUGUUCUCUGUUAGUGCUUGUAUAAUUCCCACCAAUGGCAGCAACAAUCGUAAUGCUAAUUCUAUCAGGCUAGCUACACGAAUACGAAAUAUUCUUCUCAAACAAAUUGCUAAUGAAUCGGAGACCCAAGAAGAUAUUUCGCUAGAGGAGUCAUCAUCAUUGUCUUCGUCCAUCCAAAUGGGCUCAAAUUUCACCGGUUUUCAAGAAGAUCCCAUGCUCGAUAAGUUAAGGACUCAGUUAGGAGUCAUACACCCUAUUCCAUCUCCUCCAAUUAAUCGAAAUAUUGUUGGGUUAUUUGUCUUCUUCUUCUUUGUUGGCGUAGUUUUCGAUAAGCUAUGGACAUCCAGGAAGACGGCUAAGAUGGUCAGUGGAGGUGGGCAGCGUGGACCGUGGCCUCAAGUUCCCACAAGUUUUUCGUUAUUCUUGGAGAAGGAUUUGCAGAGGAAGGAGUCGGUGGAGUGGGUGAAUAUGGUGUUGGGGAAAUUGUGGAAGGUGUAUAGACCUGGUAUUGAGAACUGGAUUAUUGGGUUGCUGCAGCCUGUCAUUGAUAAUCUGAAGAAGCCUGAUUAUGUGGAGAGAGUUGAAAUUAGGCAAUUCUCCUUGGGAGACGAGCCAUUGUCUGUCAGGAACGUUGAGCGCAGAACAUCACGCCGUGUCAACGAUUUGCAGUAUCAAAUAGGCCUACGAUAUACUGGUGGUGCUCGCAUGUUGCUAAUGCUUUCACUAAAAUUUGUCAUUAUCCCCAUUGCUGUACCAG